UACGGAGGGUGCAAGCGUUAAUCGGAAUUACUGGGCGUAAAGCGUGCGCAGGCGGUUUGUUAAGUCCGCUGUGAAAUCCCCGAGCUCAACUUGGGAAUUGCAGUGGAUACGGGCAGACUAGAGUGUGGCAGGGGAGACUGGAAUUCCUGGUGUAGCGGUGAAAUGCGCAGAUAUCAGGAGGAACACCGGUGGCGAAGGCGGGUCUCUGGGCCAAUACUGACGCUGAGGAGCGAAAGCGUGGGGAGCGAACAGG
rnacentral:rRNA from 1 species